rnacentral:rRNA from 1 species
UACGUAGGGCGCAAGCGUUAUCCGGAAUUAUUGGGCGUAAAGAGCUCGUAGGCGGUUUGUCGCGUCUCCCGUGAAAGUCCGGGGCUCAACUCCGGAUCUGCGGUGGGUACGGGCAGACUAGAGUGAUGUAGGGGAGACUGGAAUUCCUGGUGUAGCGGUGAAAUGCGCAGAUAUCAGGAGGAACACCGAUGGCGAAGGCAGGUCUCUGGGCAUUAACUGACGCUGAGGAGCGAAAGCAUGGGGAGCGAACAGG